AAUUCUCAACCAUUCUGUCUUUUACAAGUUCAGUCUGGCUUGGAUUGUGGGGGCUUGUGGGCUUGAUUCUGAGUCUGCUCCUCUCAAAUGCAUUAGCAUGAGUUGCUGCUGCAUCAUUUUUGAUAUGAUAAUUAUCUAUAUCAUUGGUGAUCAGCAUGAGACUCAGCUUCUAAUCAGCUGUUUCUGCUUGUCAGACACUGCUCUGAAAA
rnacentral:misc_RNA from 1 species